rnacentral:rRNA from 1 species
GGAGCAUGUGGUUUAAUUCGAAGCAACGCGAAGAACCUUACCAGGUCUUGACAUCCCUGACACCCGAGAGAUCGGGCGUUCCCCUUCGGGGGACAGGGUGACAGGUGGUGCAUGGUUGUCGUCAGCUCGUGUCGUGAGAUGUUGGGUUAAGUCCCGCAACGAGCGCAACCCUCGACCUUAGUUGCCAGCAUUCAGUUGGGCACUCUAAGGUGACUGCCGGCUAAAAGUCGGAGGAAGGUGGGGAUGACGUCAAAUCAUCAUGCCCCUUAUGACCUGGGCUACACACGUGCUACAAUGGGCGGUACAAAGGGUCGCGAACCCGCGAGGGGGAGCCAAUCCCAAAAAGCCGCUCUCAGUUCGGAUUGCAGGCUGCAACUCGCCUGCAUGAAGCCGGAAUCGCUAGUAAUCGCGGAUCAGCAUGCCGCGGUGAAUACGUUCCCGGGCCUU